GCUGGGCCCUGUGGCACACACCUGUAAUCCCAGCCACUUGGGAGGCUGGGGCAGGAGGAUUGUGAGUUUGAGGCCAGCCUCAGCAACUUGGCAAGGCCCUAAGCAACUCAGUGAGACCCUGCCUCUA
rnacentral:sRNA from 1 species